rnacentral:rRNA from 1 species
AGUGAACGCUGGCGGUAGGCCUAACACAUGCAAGUCGAACGGCAGCACAGUAAGAGCUUGCUCUUACGGGUGGCGAGUGGCGGACGGGUGAGGAAUACAUCGGAAUCUACUUUUUCGUGGGGGAUAACGUAGGGAAACUUACGCUAAUACCGCAUACGACCUACGGGUGAAAGCAGGGGAUCUUCGGACCUUGCGCGAUUGAAUGAGCCGAUGUCGGAUUAGCUAGUUGGCGGGGUAAAGGCCCACCAAGGCGACGAUCCGUAGCUGGUCUGAGAGGAUGAUCAGCCACACUGGAACUGAGACACGGUCAAGACUCCUACGAGAGGCAGCAGUGGGGAAUAUUGGACAAUGGGCGCAAGCAUGAUCCAGCCAUACCGCGUGGGUGAAGAAGGCCUUCGGGUUGUAAAGCCCUUUUGUUGGGAAAGAAAAGCAGCAGGUUAAUACCCCGCUGUUCUGACGGUACCCAAAGAAUAAGCACCGGCUAACUUCGUG